rnacentral:rRNA from 1 species
CGGUAAUUCCAGCUCCAAUAGCGUAUAUUAAAGUCGUUGCGGUUAAAAAGCUCGUAGUUGGAGUUCUAUCGGUGAGUGCCGGUCCGCCCUAGUGGUUGGCACACGGCACGCCACCGGCCUUUUCAUGGGGAGUGUGUCUCGCUCUUUGUUGAGUGGCGCGUAAUCCAGGACGUUUACUUUGAGGAAAUGAGAGUGUUUCAAGCAGGCGCUUGCCGUGAAUACGUUAGCAUGGAAUAAUAGCAUCGGACCUCGCUCCUAAGCUGUUGGUUUCCUGGAGAGAGGUAAAGGUGAAUAGGGAUUGUUGGGGGCAUUUGUAUUUAACUGUCAGAGGUGAAAUUCUUGGAUUUGUUGAAGACGGCACUACUGCGAAAGCAUCUGCCAAGGAUGUUCUCAUUGAUCAAGAACGAAAGUUAGGGGAUCGAAGACGAUCAGAUACCGUCUUAGUUUUAACCAUAAACUAUCCCGAUUGGAGAUCGGGGGUCGUUAUUUUUGUGACGCCCUCUGCAUCUUGAGAGAAAUCAAAGCCUUUGGGUUCCGGGGGGAGUAUGGUCGCAAGGCUGAAACUUAAAGGAAUUGACGGAAGGGCACCACCAGGAGUGGAGCCUGCGGCUUAAUUUGACUCAACACGGGGAAACUUACCAGGUCCAGACAAAGUAAGGAUUGACAGAUUGAGAGCUCUUUCUUGAUUCUUUGGGUGGUGGUGCAUGUCCGAUAUUAGUUGGUGGAGUGAUUUGUAUGGUUGAUUGCGUUUACGAGCGAGUCCUCAGCUUGCUAAAUAGUGUCGUUUUCCUUUGGAAGGCGCUCGAUUUAUUAGAGGGACUAUUGGGUUCACCCCAGUAGAAGUUUGUGGCAAUAACAGGUAUGAGAUGCCCUUAGAUGUUCUGGACCCCAUGCGCGCCACCCUGACGUAUUCAUCGAGUUUUCAGUCUCGAACGAGAGGUAUAUGUAAUCUGAUUACCGUUGUCCGUGCUGCGGAUAGAUGAUUUCAAGGGUUCAUCUUCACCGAGGACUUUCUAGUAAUCUCGAAUCAUCAGUUCGCAUUGACUACGUCUCCACCCUUAGGACACCCCGGUCGUCGCCCGGAUCGAGGGAACGCUUUAGCUAGUCGUUCGGAUUGUGGCGAUGUCAUCUUCCUUGGCGAGAGUAUCCAGCGAGAAGUGCUAUCAAACUCUCAUCGUUUAGAGGAAGGUGAAGUCGUAACGGGGUAACC